rnacentral:rRNA from 1 species
AGAGUUUGAUCCUGGCUCAGGAUGAACGCUAGCUACAGGCUUAACACAUGCAAGUCGAGGGGCAGCAUUAUCGAAGCUUGCUUUGAUAGAUGGCGACCGGCGCACGGGUGAGUAACGCGUAUCCAACCUUCCCCAUAGUCAGGAAUAGCCCGGCGAAAGUCGAAUUAAUGCCUGAUGUUUUCCACGGACGGCAUCUGAUGUGGAACAAAGAUUCAUCGCUAUGGGAUGGGGAUGCGUCUGAUUAGCUUGUUGGCGGGGUAACGGCCCACCAAGGCAACGAUCAGUAGGGGUUCUGAGAGGAAGGUCCCCCACAUUGGAACUGAGACACGGUCCAAACUCCUACGGGAGGCAGCAGUGAGGAAUAUUGGUCAAUGGGCGGAAGCCUGAACCAGCCAAGUAGCGUGAGGGAUGACUGCCCUAUGGGUUGUAAACCUCUUUUAUAAGGGAAUAAAAUACGGGACGUGUCCUGUUUUGCAUGUACCUUAUGAAUAAGGACCGGCUAAUUCCGUGCCAGCAGCCGCGGUAAUACGGAAGGUCCAGGCGUUAUCCGGAUUUAUUGGGUUUAAAGGGAGCGCAGGCGGUCUUAUAAGCGUGACGUGAAAUGCAGCGGCUCAACCGUAUGAUGUGCGUCGCGAACUGUGAGACUUGAGUGUAUUCGAUGUCAGCGGAA